GACGAACGCUGGCGGCGUGCUUAACACAUGCAAGUCGAACGGUGAAGCGCCUUCCUUUUUGGUGGGUGUGGAUGAGUGGCGAACGGGUGAGUAACACGUGAGUAACCUGCCCCCUUCUUCUGGAUAACCGCAUGAAAGUGUGGCUAAUACGGGAUAUUCUGGGUCUGUCGCAUGAUGGGUCUGGGAAAGAUAUUGUUUCGGUGGGGGAUGGGCUCGCGGCCUAUCAGCUUGUUGGUGGGGUGAUGGCCUACCAAGGCGGUGACGGGUAGCCGGCCUGAGAGGGUGGACGGUCACAAUGGGACUGAGACACGGCCCAGACUCCUACGGGAGGCAGCAGUGGGGAAUAUUGCACAAUGGGCGCAAGCCUGAUGCAGCGACGCCGCGGGAGGGAUGGAGGCCUUCGGGUUGUGAACCUCUUUCGCCAGUGAAGCAGGCCUGCCUCGUUUGUGGGUGGGUUGACGGUAGCUGGAUAAGAAGCGCCGGCUAACUACGUG
rnacentral:rRNA from 1 species